GAUGAACGCUGGCGGCGUGCCUAAUACACGCAAGUCGAACGAAGAGAGAAGCUUGCUUCUCUUUUAGUGGCGACCGGGUGAGUAAUACAUAAGCAACCUACCCAUUCGACCGGGAUAACAGUUGGAAACGACUGCUAAUACAGGAUAGGUGACCGGGGGACAUCCCCUGAUCAUUAAAGCUGGGACACAGCACGACUGGAUGCGCUUCUGGGGCAUUAGUUAGUUGGCGGGGUAACGGCCCACCAAGACGAUGAUGCGUGGCCGACCGGAGAGGGUGACCGGCCAGACUGGGACUGAGGCACGGCCUAGACUCCUACGGGAGGCAGCAGUAGGGAAUUUUCGGCAAUGGGCGCAAGCCUGACCGAGCAACGCCGCGUGAGUGAAGAAGGCCUUCGGGUUGUAAAGCUCUGUUGUAAGGGAAGAAUGGCCAAGAGAGGGAAUGCUCUUGGAGUGACGGUACCUUACCAGAAAGCCACGGCUAACUACGUGCCAGCCGCCGCGGUAAAAC
rnacentral:rRNA from 1 species